UUGAAAAACAAACAAGGAAAUUAAUAUUUCCUUUCCCACAGUUUCUUGAAAAUAAGGUUUUCGAAGAAAUACUAUUUCCUUUCACGUGCUUUUUGGCAAAUUUUAUUAGUAUGGGAAAGUUUCCAAUUUCGAGUCAAAAUAGGGUCUAAGGUUUCUUUUACUUAUAUAACCACAUUAGAUACAUUGUAAGCAACACUUUUCAUCAAUAAUAUUAAUUUUUGUCUCUCAUUUUUAGAGAUUUCUCUCUCCUUGGAGAUUUAAGGGCUAUUCUUGAUAAGCAAAUGGUGAUCUAUUCUCUUUAUCCACACAUUUAACCACUUGCUCUAAAAGCUCGAACUGAUAGAGCAUCGCAAAUCAAUCCAUUUAUCUCAUAGCCCAGGCCCCACAUCCCAUGGGUUAGGACCUCGGCCGAACCCCCCUCGUGGGCCCCACAUCACAUGGGUACCGCCUCACACGAGCCAACCGCCUCACACGAGCUGCCCACCCCAAGUUUGCCCCUGCAUCCCAUAGGCAACCCCACUCGAGCCUAGUUUGAAAAUGCCCUUGCAUUACCAAGUCCAACACAUAUGCCAUAUUGUAGACUCUAACACAAUGGUGAUGAGUCUGGCGAUUAGGAGGUGGAUGGGAUCAUCCUCCAACAGGGAGGACGAGGAGCUGCUAGACAAGAUCAAGAUUACCAACUCACGGUAGCUCUCCCUUCAAUGAACAACUUCACAUUGAGGAUUUCCUCAACUAGCUUAUACAGAUAGAGAGGUUUUUGUGAAAUUACAUGGAGAUCCUUGAGGAAAAGAAAGUAAAGCUGGUAGCCUAUAAGCUUCAAGGAGCUUCAGCACAGGAGCAACUCCAACUCUCGUGAGCGCAGCAAUCGAAGGCACUAAUACGAACUUGGUCGUGGAUGAAGAAGUUCAUGCAAGCGUGAUUCCUCCCCGCAGACUAUGAUUAGGGACUGAGUUGCAACAAGUAGCAGGGUUCAUCGGCAGACUGCGUAGGGCAAUACAAGAUCGGGUGAUCGUGCAACCUAUCUGAACCCUUGAAUAAGCUAUCAAAUUGGUGACCAGAGUGGAGACAACUGGAGGGGCUUGUUGUAAAAACCCGAGCAAUAGGAAAAAUCUUCACCGUCGAAUCAUCAUUGGCUACAAUGCAGGCUUGAGGGACAGUCUUGUCAAGGGACAUUCUCAGCCUCCUGCCGUCAUGAACCGAGAUUCAGAGAGUGGACAAGCCAAGCUAGGAGUAACCAAUACCAAAAAAAUUGCCCCAAAACCCCUAUGCCCACCCCAGCCGGCCAAAUGUUAUUAGUAUGGUCAACUUGGGCAUUAAUCGAACUAAUGCCUUCAGAAACAGAUGGCUAACCAGCCACUAACUCAGGGAAGGUAGGAUUCUGAUGAGAACAGAGAUGGAAAUUUCCAGGAUAAAGAGAAAAUUGAGUGAACUUAUGAAGAUCAAGGAAUAUCUCUCUUCGUGAUGUACAUUUUGAAGCAGGACAAGGACCCACAACUGCAUGAUAUCUUUAAGACCACACGCACAAGCAACAUUAUAUAUGUCAUUUGGUUAUAGACGAAGGCAACAACAAGUACAUAGCAUCCAAGGCCAUGGUAGAUAAAUUAUAGUUGAAGACAACAAAUCAUCAUUAUUCAUACACAAUCUGCUGGAUUAAGAAAAUCAGCAAAAUCAAGGCGUAGGUUUUUCAUGUGUUUAAAAGUGUUCAAGAAGGUGAUCUAGUGACGGUUCACCUAAAAAAGGAGCACUUGCCAGCAGGAGCAUACAAGAAGUGAAAGGACAAGAAGAUUGGACCAUCUCAGAUCAGACCAUGCCUGUAUCUUCCUGAGGCAUGGUGAGGUUGCGAUUGCGUUAUCAAGGGAUUAACAUUUGGAAAGAAAGAAACAUGCAGUGUUUUCGAAAUGGGAGUUCCUCAGUUCGCGGGUGAUUAACAUCUGGAAAGAAAGAAACGUGCAGUGUUUUCGAAAUGGAAGUUCCUCGGUUGACAGGGUGGUUAACAUAAUCUUGGAGCUUGUAAAGGAUGGGCCCCUAAUGCUAAAGCAGCUUCGGGUGCUUCUUUUUCUAUUGUAAAGCACUGAUUGCAUUGUAUUCUUUUCUUGUCGUUUGGCAGGCUUCUUAACAAAUUUCGUUCUCUCAAAAAAUUAAAAA